rfam:Rhizoclosmatium globosum strain JEL800 BCR33scaffold_139, whole genome shotgun sequence.
GGGCGAAUGGCCGAGUGGUCCAAGGCGAUGCGUUUAGGCCGCAUUCUAGAAAUAGGCGUGGGUUCAAACCCCACUUCGCUCA